rnacentral:lncRNA from 1 species
CUGAGCUGUGCUGGCUGGGACAGCCCUCUGCACUCUCAGCCCACGGGAAAGCACCAGGUCAGGGGCUUCUGCAGACAGCAGCAGAGCCUGACCCCACUUCUGUGGGAAAGGCCAACCUCGCUAAGGUGGUUCCCUAGGUCACUGAGCAGGUGACCUGAUUCUCAGGGUUUUCCAAAGUGGCCCCUGGCUGCAGAAUCUCCAGGGAGAACUUUGUGCCCACAGCGUACGCCACGGCAGAAUCUACCUGCAAAAUUAGCCGCUGAGGCUCCCUCACCGACACAGAGGACGAGGUCGGCAUGGGAGAACGGAAGAUGGCACGAGACGAAGAAAAUACCUACGGUAAGACCUUGUCUCCGUGCGCACUUGCCCCCGGGCAUCAGCUCUGGGUCACAGGCCAUGGGCUAACUCAAGACUGAACAGAGACAGAUCCCAGACUUCCACCCAGACUUGUCCCCAUGCUGGGCUGACACAUUAAGAGUCCCGGCUUUGCAUGUUUGCUAGACCUCUGCCCCGGCCCUACUGUGAGACGUUAGGUGCUUUGACUAGCCUGUGCCUUGCUUGGGUCCCAAGGAGGAUAAGAAAUCUACUCUGAUUCCCACAGACUAGCGGUGGGGGGACACCAUGAACUAGAGGGAACCCGGUUUCCCAGUAGAAUGUGUUAGUGAACAAGGAUGGAGGGUUAAGGGUAUCCCAC